ensembl:lncRNA
CCUGCCUUCCUUGCCCUCAGGAACUGCUUUUGAAAAGUAAACACCAUGGCUCCCUGCCUGAACUUGGAGACUGAGUUUGGAAAUCGGUUGGUGAGUCUUCGCCAUUAUAGCAAAGACAGCUUCAGAAGUAAAGCGGUGUCUUCUCUUGAGAUCGCACAGCUACUGUCACAAGGGGCCUUUUGUUGCUGGAAGAUCUGUUUUCUGAUGUGAUGAGAGAGUGGACUUGCUGGGUGUGAAUUUGCUGCCAUUUAGAUGUUCCUUUGAAGCCAGGAGAGCCCCAAGGCAGACUAAUGGAGAGAUAAACACAGAGAACCAUGGAUCGCAGCUGCAGGCAGACUCUGAGGUGCAAGCACUGCGGCAAAGGUCCCGGGUGCCAGCCUGUCUGAGUGACACUGUACAGCCAGUGAGGGACAGCUGGGUCUCACUGUCCACAGGGAGGUGACGGUGCUCUGGAUACACAAGGACAGGUUGUGACAUUGCAGGAUCUUCACUUGCUGCACAUGGGAACUAGUUCCCUGAGCAGGGAUGAAACCUGAGCCCCCUGUAUUGGGAACGCAGAGUGUUAAACACUGGACCACGAGGAGAGUCCCUUAGA